rnacentral:rRNA from 1 species
UACGGAGGGUGCAAGCGUUGCUCGGAAUCACUGGGCGUAAAGCGACCGCAGGCGGUCUGACAAGUCGGAUGUGAAAGCCCUGGGCUCAACUCAGGAAUUGCAUUCGAAACUGGCAGACUCGAGUACGGGAGAGGGGGGUGGAAUUCCUGGUGUAGGGGUGAAAUUCGUUGAUAUCAGGAGGAACACCGGCGGCGAAGGCGGCCCCCUGGCCCGGCAACUGACGCUCAUGGUCGAAAGCGUGGGGAGCAAACAGG